rnacentral:tRNA from 1 species
GGGAAUGUGGCUUAGUGGGAAAGUGUUUGCUUAGCAUGCAUAAAGCCCUGGGUUCGAUUCUCAGCACCA